rnacentral:rRNA from 1 species
AUUGAACGCUGGCGGAAUGCUUUACACAUGCAAGUCGAGCGGCAGCACGGGGGCAACCCUGGUGGCGAGCGGCGAACGGGUGAGUAAUACAUCGGAACAUGCCCAGUCGUGGGGGAUAACACUUCGAAAGAAGUGCUACUACCGCAUACGUCCUGAGGGAGAAAGCGGGGGAUCGCAAGACCUCGCGCGAUUUGAGUGGCCGAUGUCAGAUUAGCUAGUUGGUGGGGUAAAGGCCUACCAAGGCAACGAUCUGUAGCUGGUCUGAGAGGAUGAUCAGCCACACUGGGACUGAGACACGGCCCAGACUCCUACGGGAGGCAGCAGUGGGGAAUUUUGGACAAUGGGGGCAACCCUGAUCCAGCCAUGCCGCGUGAGUGAAGAAGGCCUUCGGGUUGUAAAGCUCUUUCGGCAGGAACGAAACGGCGAGCUCUAACAUAGCUUGCUAAUGACGGUACCUGAAGAAGAAGCACCGGCUAACUACGUG